UCCUAGAAUAGCUUCCAAUCCACAGUUCUAGAUUACCUUCCUAUAAUCAAGGUGAAAUAUUGGUUGUCCUGACCCUAAGGGUUUCUCCACAGGAGAGCUCAUAACAUGAAUGCUUUAUUCUGUGUUUUUUCAUUUGUUGUCAUUGAGGAAAUACUCAUGUUUCCUUUUCCAAUGCCAUAGGUAUUUACAGUUCUUUAGCCAAGAGUUCUGGAGCUCAUGAUUCUGUAGUUAAGGAUCCUGGAACCACCAUUCAUCUGAAGGGGAUCCGAGGAGGUUCAGUCCUGUUCCAUGUGACCAAGGAGACAGCAGAAGCUGAUGUGCAGGAGAUCACUUGGAGCUUUGGUCCUGGCUCAGACUACAGCAUCAUGCUAAAAAUGCACCGUGGGUCAGAGACCCCGGAUUGGGUCAGCCUGCAGGACAAGUACAAACAGAGGGUCCAUGUGCCCAACAUGACAUCGCUGAGGAUUGAGAACUUGAUCUUACAGGACAGUGGGCCAUACAAGGCUCAGAUUACAUUAACUAAUGGAAAAGGAUCUGACCAAUUUUUUCACCUCAAUAUUUAUGAACCUGUGCCCCCUCCUCAGAUCCAGAACAACUCAAUAUCAAUCACUCCUGACUGGUGCAAUGUCACCCUGGAAUGUAAUGUCACAGGGACCUCAGAGCACCUGAAUGUGACCUGGAAGAGCAAGGGUCUUCCCAGGGAGCUGGAGCAGAGAGGGACACCAGGACCAGCUCCCAACCCCUGGACAUUAACUGUGAGGCUGCCCCACAGCCAUCUGCAUGCCAGCCUCACCUGUGUGGUCAGCAACUAUGUGGACCAGAAAAAUGCCACCUUAGAGCUUGGCAACAUUUGUGCCCAAGGAAAACAGACACAUAUCAACAGUCCACAACAAGCCUCUUAG
rnacentral:lncRNA from 1 species